rnacentral:rRNA from 1 species
GAGUUUGAUCCUGGCUCAGGGUGAACGCUGGCGAUGUGCCUAAGACAUGCAAGUCGAGCGGGAUUUGUUGUUUACACAGAAAACCCCUAACAGUGGGGAGAUCUGUGUAAAUAAUAAGUUUAGCGGCAAACGGGUGAGUAAUAAGUACAAAUAUGCCUCUUUGUAGGACAUAGCCCACCGAAAGGUGGAGUAAUUUCCUAUAGUACCUCAGGGUUAAAGACGUAAGUCGCGAAGAGAAUAGUGUACUAACUACCAGCUAGUUGGUGAGGUAACGGCUCACCAAGGCUAUGACGGUUAUCGGCUCUUAGCGGAGAGUCCGACACAAUGGGACUGAGACACGGCCCAUACUUCUACGGAAGGCAGCAGUUAGGAAUUUUGCGCAAUGGACGAAAGUCUGACGCAGCGACAUCGCGUGAGGGAUUAAGGCCUUCGGGUUGUAAACCUCUUUUUGGGAGUCAUGAAGGCGCCCAGAAUAAGCAACUACUAACUACGUGCCAGCAGUCGCGGUAAUACGUAGGUUGCAAGCGUUACCCGGUUUUAUUGGGCGUAAAGAGUCUGUAGGUGGUUUUUUAAGUCUUAUUUCAAAGACUCCGACUUAAUCGGAGAAAGGGGUAGGAUACUGGAAGGCUGGAGUUAUAUCGGGGUUACUGGAAUUUGUGAUGUAGGGGUUAAAUCCGUGGAUAUCACAAAGAACACCAAGCGCGAAGGCGGGUAACCAGGUAUACACUGACACUGAGAGACGAAAGCUAGGGUAGCAAAUCAGAUUAGAGACCUGAGUAGUCCUAGCCGUAAACAUUGUCUGUUAAUUUUUCGGGAUUUAUCCUGGGAGAUGUAAGCUAACGCGUUAAACAGACCGCCUGGGGAGUAUAGCCGCAAGGCCGAAACUCAAACGAAUUGGCGGGGAGGCGCACAACCAGUGGAGCAUGUGGGUUUAAUUCGAUACGAAGCGAUAAACCUUACCCGGGUUUGAAAUGUACCUGCAAACCCCCAGAAACGGGGGAAUCUUUCGAAGUGGUAC